rnacentral:misc_RNA from 1 species
GAUGAAGAACGCAGCGAAAUGCGAUAAGUAAUGUGAAUUGCAGAAUUCAGUGAAUCAUCGAAUCUUUGAACGCACCUUGCGCUCUUUGGUAUUCCGAAGAGCAUGCCUGUUUGAGUGUCAUGAAAAUAUCAACCUUGACUUGGGUUUUGUGCUCUAGUCUCGGCUUGGAAUUGGGUGCUUGCCGCUUCUACGAGCGGCUCACCUUAAAUGUAUUAGCUGGAUCUGUCUUUGAGACUUGGUUUGACUUGGCGUAAUAAGUAUUUCGCUAAGGACAUUCUUCGGAGUGGCCUCGUUUCUAGGACGCUUGUCCGCUUUCCAAUACAAGUUCCACCUCGUGGACAUGACUUUUUAUUAUCUGGCCUCAAAUCAGGUAGGACUACCCGCUGAACUUAAGCAUAUCAAUAAGCGGAGGA